GAAAGAUAGAGGCAUACCUAAAAAGACUUGGUUAGAAAAUAUUAGAAACUACCUUUUUUUAUUAGAUUUAAAUGAGGAUUUGACUCUUAACAAGACACAAUGGAGAAAAAAGAUUCAUGUGACCGACCCCAUGUAGUUGGAUAAGGGCUUGAUAUUGUUGUUGUUGUUGCUGUAAAGAUGAAGAAAGGUAGAGGUAGACCUAAAAAGACUUGGUUAGGAAGUGUUAAUGAUGACAUUUUUUUUAUUAGAUUAAAAUGAGAAUUUGACUGUUAAUAAGAUACAAUGGAGAAAAAUGAUUCAUGUAGCUAACCCCACAUAAUGGGAUAAAGGCUUAUUGUUGUUGUCGUCAUCGUCGUCUUAUCAAUGAAGCUUGUUAUGUUUCAGGAAUUGCCCUAUAACAAAGAUGAUGUGUGAUAAAAGCGACCUAGUUUUUGAAGUUAUUUCAACAUUAAGAGAUGUUUUAAAGAUAAGUUCAGUUUGAAGAGAGUACGCUAAAACAUAUCCUCGGAUAAAGUUGUGAUUCAGCUGCUGUACCUAACAAAAAGUCUUCUUGGCAUUCCUUGUACAUUGGUGAAUUUACAUAUGGAAGGCUAGCAGAUUUUGGUGCUGCUUUAUCGAUGGCCAACAAGUUACUUUGCCAGCAAGUGCUUGAAGAACUAGAUCGAUGAAAACUUUGACGUUCAUAAUGCACAAAAGAUUUUAGAUGAGGACCAUUAUGGCUUGUCUGAGGUGAAGGAAAGAAUUCUGGAAUUUAUAGCUGUUGGAAAAUUGAGAGGAACCUCAAAUGGGAAAAUCAUGUCUUUCCGGUCCUCCUGGAGUUGGUAAAACUAGUAUUGGGCAUUCAAUUGCACGUGCUCUGAACCGCAAAUUUUAUAGGUUUUCAGUGGGAGGCUUGGCUGAUGUUGCUGAAAUCAAGGAAACCAUUUAAAUGGAGUUAAUUUGAAUGAUUCAAUUUUUUCAGGGCCAUCGUCGAACCUACAUUGGUGCAAUGCCAGGAAAAGUUGUCCAAUGCUUGAAAAGUGUUGGAACAGCUAAUCCUCUUGUUCUAAUUGACUAAAUUGAUAAGAUUUCCCAUUUUUGCAGUUAGGCAGAGGGCAUGCUGGUGAUCCAGCAAGUGCUCUGUUGGAGCUUCUUGAUCCUGAACAAAAUAUGAACUUCCUUGAUCACUAUUUAGAUGUUCCUAUCGAUCUCUCAAAAAUAGCUCUACAAUUAGUUCGUAAGGCAAUUUCAAUUGAGACAUCUGCCGCUGCCAGCAUUCAGCCUGGUAAAGUUAAGCAAUAUACUGAACCAUCUAAGGAAGAUCUUAU